rnacentral:rRNA from 1 species
AUGGAUCGUCGGAGAGAAAUGGAUGAUCGGGCCGAGGGCUGCCCCCUCUUCCCCUCGCUCCUCCUUUCCUUAAUAUUCACCGUCGAGUCAUCAAAGUCGUCAACUAAUUCAGAGGGGCUCGGCUGGCCCGGUCGCCCUACGCUACUGGCGCUUCCAAAUGCGAAGCUCUCGUCUUUGGCGACCAGCAAACGGAGGGCUAAAACCUGUAGUUUUGAAGCAAGGGAAGAGCGCGAAAGCCGUUGCGCUUCCGUACACGCGCAUACGUUUUCUUGCUGUGGGAGACACGGAUUUCUCUCUAAAGGUGAAGAAAAAGAAGUGGGCGAACACUCGGCCCAGCGGGCGAACAUGCCGGCUCCGGCUCCAUGCACCUGUUGA